rnacentral:rRNA from 1 species
AGCGAACGCUGGCGGCAGGCCUAACACAUGCAAGUCGAACGAACUCUUCGGAGUUAGUGGCGGACGGGUGAGUAACACGUGGGAACGUGCCUUUAGGUUCGGAAUAACUCAGGGAAACUUGUGCUAAUACCGAAUGUGCCCUUCGGGGGAGAGAUUUAUCGCCUUUAGAGCGGCCCGCGUCUGAUUAGCUAGUUGGUGAGGUAAAGGCUCACCAAGGCGACGAUCAGUAGCUGGUCUGAGAGGAUGAUCAGCCACAUUGGGACUGAGACACGGCCCAAACGCCUACGGGAGGCAGCAGUGGGGAAUCUUGCGCAAUGGGCGAAAGCCUGACGCAGCCAUGCCGCGUGAAUGAUGAAGGUCUUAGGAUUGUAAAAUUCUUUCACCGGGGACGAUAAUGACGGUACCCGGAGAAGAAGCCCCGGCUAACUUCGUGCCAGCCGCCGCGGUAA